UUCUUUUAGAAACAGAUCAAGAAACUGGGGAUUGAAGAAUAACUGACAGAAACGCAGUCUGAUCUUACUAGCAGUGAAAGAGAGAGUGGAGGAAACAGAUGAAGGAAACAGCUUACACCAAGAUUUCAGAUACGAUCAUUUUGAACAACUAUUUCUUUUACUUUCCAGGAUUGUUUUUGUAAUCAGUUGAAAAAGAAUGCUUUUUCUCCCCCUAGAGUUAGGGUUUAAAAAAAAAAUUACAUAUUUAUUAUUACAUUGUUAAUAAAUAAACUUUUUUGCA